CUCCGCCGGCCAAUCGCGCGAGUGCAGGGCGCUGGCUGGCUUGGCGCUGGCUCCAAGGCUAUGGAGCCGCUGGCGCGGGGGCGGCGUGUGAGGUGGUUGCGGAGCAGAGUCCUAUUCUAAGGACACGGGCUUGCAGGUUUCCACCAUGGUGUUGGGUGCCGAUCAGAAGAUGCCAGAUGACAAUGGUUCUGGAGACCAUGGAGACACUGCCAGUCUUGGUGCCAUCAACCCUGCUUACAGUAACUCCUCUCUUCCCGAGUCCACUGGGCACUCAGCGGAGCCCUUCACCACCUACUUUGAUGAGAAGAUCACCAUUCCUGAGGAGGAGUAUUCAUGUUUUAGCUUUCGGAAACUCUGGGCUUUCACAGGACCAGGCUUUCUUAUGAGCAUUGCCUACCUGGAUCCAGGAAACAUUGAAUCUGACUUGCAGUCUGGAGCUGUGGCUGGGUUUAAGUUGCUCUGGGUCCUUCUGCUGGCCACCAUUGUGGGGCUCCUGCUCCAGCGCCUUGCAGCUAGACUGGGAGUAGUCACUGGGCUGCAUCUUGCGGAAGUGUGUCACCAGCAGUAUCCCAAGGUUCCUCGAAUUAUCCUAUGGCUGAUGGUGGAGUUGGCUAUCAUUGGCUCAGACAUGCAAGAAGUCAUUGGCUCAGCCAUUGCCAUCAAUCUCCUGUCUGUGGGAAGGGUUCCACUCUGGGGUGGAGUUCUCAUCACCAUUGCAGAUACUUUUGUGUUUCUCUUUUUGGACAAAUAUGGCUUGCGGAAGCUAGAAGCAUUUUUUGGCUUUCUCAUCACUGUUAUGGCCAUCACAUUUGGAUACGAGUAUGUUACAGUGAAACCCGACCAGAGACAGGUACUCAGGGGCAUGUUCGUGCCAUCCUGUUCAGGCUGUACGACCCCACAGGUCGAGCAGGCUGUGGGCAUCGUGGGAGCUGUCAUCAUGCCACACAACAUGUACCUGCAUUCUGCCUUAGUCAAGUCGAGACAGGUAAACCGGGCCAAAAAGCAUGAAGUUCAAGAAGCCAAUAAGUACUUUUUCAUUGAAUCCUGCAUUGCUCUCUUUGUUUCCUUCGUCAUCAACGUCUUUGUUGUCUCAGUCUUUGCUGAAGCAUUUUUUGAGAAAACCAACGAGCAAGUGGUGCAAGUCUGUAAAAACACCAGCAUUCCCUGGACUGGCCUCUUCCCUGAUGAUAAUUCAACACUGACUGUGGACAUUUAUAAAGGGGGUGUCGUGCUGGGAUGUUACUUUGGUCCUGCUGCACUCUACAUCUGGGCGGUGGGGAUCCUGGCUGCAGGACAGAGCUCCACCAUGACAGGAACCUAUUCUGGCCAGUUUGUCAUGGAGGGAUUCCUGAACCUAAAAUGGUCACGCUUUGCCCGAGUGAUUCUUACCCGCUCUAUUGCCAUCAUUCCCACUCUGCUUGUAUCUGUCUUCCAAGAUGUAGAGCAUCUGACGGGAAUGAACGACUUCCUGAAUGUGCUGCAGAGCUUACAGCUUCCCUUUGCUCUCAUACCCAUACUCACAUUUACGAGUUUGCGGCCAGUAAUGAGUGACUUUGCCAAUGGAAUAGGCUGGAGGAUUGCAGGCGGAAUCUUGGUCCUUAUCGUCUGUUCCAUCAACAUGUACUUUGUGAUUGUUUAUGUCCAGGAACUAGGGCAUGUGGCGUUGUAUGUGGUGGCUGCUGUGAUCAGCAUAGCUUAUCUGAGCUUUGUGUUGUACCUGGGUUGGCAAUGUUUGAUUGCACUGGGCAUGUCCUUCCUGGACUGUGGGCACACGUACCAUCUGGGAUUGACAGCUCAGCCUGAACUCUACCUUCUGAACACCGUGGAUGCUGACUCACUUGUAUCUAGAUGACUGACAGCCUGAGAGACUAUAUAAGAACAACUUUCUUUAAGCCCUGUUGUGCCAAGUGUCCUGUUACAUAUAUUUGUUUAGUUCAGAGAGUUUACUGAAGCAUCGACCUCAACAUGUGGAACACACCAGGAAGCCAGCAAAAAUGGCCUCUGAGCAGCCAAAUGAACACCACAGAGUUCAUGCUCCCCAGUGACCAGAUAAAUGGUUUGCCGUUCCAGCCAUCUCCAGUCAGCAUAUGGUCACCUGUGCACCGGAUCCUGGACUAAGGUGAUGGCUGUGGAAGUGAAGUCUGAGGGACAAACUGAGAGGUAUGAGGAACAGGCAGAGCCUGAUGAAGAAUUAAUCAGAGGCUUUCUGAGCACCUGCUAUGUAGUAAGCACUGUCCAUGGCAUGUAGAAGAAAGGAAGAAGAUACAGGCAGUCUCCAGAUUACGAACGUGUUCCAUUCCUAAAUCUGUCUUUAAACUCAAUUUGUACUUAAAUCAGAAGUUAGGUAUGGUUCGUCUCUAGUAUCAGUCAAAUGUUUCUCUUAGCAUAUAGUAUAUAGUGUACCUUUCUAUGCAUAAAAAAAACAUUAAAGAAACACUUCCAGAUACACUAAAACAUCUUUAACGUAAUAAUAUAGUAAUAGUAAUAAUGUUUUGAUGCAUGUUUCAAAGUUGCACCCAUUUGUUAUUACAAAUCAUUGUAUGUAUCUCAGAUUUUUAAUUUAAUAGGCUUUAUGGGGAUUGGUUUGUAACUUCGGGUUGUACAUAAGCUGGAUGUUCAUAGCUCAGAGACUGCCUGUAUUGGUGAUGUAAAAUUACACCAUUGGGUACUAGUGAAUGAGUGUUAAGAGAUUUCUCACAAAGGAAGCUUCUUGAAAUAGCCAGUGAAGGCUUUGUAGAAGGAAUAUCAUUUUAUAUGGUCCUUGAAGAAUAUAGGGGAAUAAUCAAAGGUGGUGGAGAAGUUGCAAAGAGUUGCUUAUUUAGGGAAAGUGACAAUGAAUUCUGUUUUUGAUGCGUCAAAUUCUGAAUAUCAAAGGACUGGCAGAAGUGUGUGUGAGGUGCAGGAAUCUUCUUCACACGGGUGAUGAUUCACAACCUGAGAGUAGAAGAAAGGUUCAAAGGAUUGAAUACAAGGAUAAAACCCACUGCCCUCGAGUUGAUUCCAACUCAUAGCAACCUUAUACAAUACAGGGAUGGUACAGAGCAUAAGAGUCUUGGGGGACCACUCACAGUGAAAUGGUGGAGGAAGGAGAAUACAGAGCUACAGAGGUCUUGGAAUCAGGAGACGACCUGGAGAGGCAGUACUGCAUAGUGAGGAGGCCCGGGUUUCAGAGUCAGGUGAAACCAAGCAAAAACCAAACCAUUCUCUGUCGAGUCAUUUUCGACUCAUAGCGACCCUACAGGAUAGAGCAGAACUGCCCCCAUGGGGUUCCAAAGCUGUAAUUUUUGUGGAAGGAGAUUGCCUUAUCUUUUUCCUGCGGACCGGUUGGUGGGUUUGAACGACCUCUUGAUUAGCAGUGAAGUGCUUAACCGCUGUACCACCAGGGCUCCUUCAAAGCUAGGUAAAAGACAUGGGGAUACUCCUGUGGUCUCUCAUUGUGUGCCUUUGGUAAGUGACAUAACCUCCUUAAAUCUGUUUUCUCAUUUGUUGGAUGGAGGUAAUCAUACCUGUGUUACAGAGUUAUGAGAACUAUAUGAAAUGAAUGUGUAAAAAGUUAAUGCCUGGCAUAAAGAAGACACUUGAUAAAGGGAAGUUUUUAUUAUCGGGUAUUAGAGUCAUGGAAUAAAACGAUCAUUCUGAGAAAAAGGUUGACAUCAGUGUCAGAUACAUUUUAGAGGCUGAGAAGGAUGCGGCCUGAGGUAAGACUAUUGGGCCUGAGUGAUUUUUACUUUUAAGAAUGGUAAAAUCUGAAUGGUAAUAUUCCUAGUUCAUUCAUGUAUAUUCCAAUGUAGUUUUCUACAGUUUCCCAAAUAGUUUUUUCUGUAGAAACACAAUAACGCCUUGCUUGAUCUUCAUAUUAUUAUUUUUUUAACUGAACUAGAAAUAGGAAUGUCGGUCAGUCUGUUUAUUUUCUGUGACUUCAGUUAAUAUGACUUCUGCCCCCAAUUCUCAUGCACCGGUACUAGUUCUGUGGUUCAACAGGGAAUUCUGGUAAUUCUUUCACGUAGCACACAUGCUUUUGGUUUUAAAUAUUCAGAUAAUUAAAGUGACACUUACUGAAUAGUUUUCUUUUUUGCUUUUCUUGACAUUAGCCUGCUGUGGUUCUUUACUCUUUCAAUUGCCUAACUGGAUAAACAAGAAUUGAAUUUCAGUUAUGUUAAGUUCUGUGUUUUCAAAGGGAAAGGCUUACGUUAGGGUCAGGAGGACAAAAGGAGCUAUUAUACAAUGCUUGCUUCACUUUCUUUUCAAGUGUGAAAUAUGUAGGAAUUCAAAAGAAACAACUGGAAUAUUAGAAUAUUUAGGAACAAAGUGUUUUAUAAGAUUUUUUUUUUUUUUUUGUCAGCCAUUAAACUAAGAGUUGGGCUUACUGCUUCAGGGUCUUUAACAAAAUUAGGAAGAAGCUGAUGAAAUAGUAGCCACCCCAGCCUCUGCCCUUCAGGGUCUGGUGCCCAACUCUGCCUGCUUUCUUUCGGUUCCUUCAGCAUACUGUGUUCCCUCCCUUUCUUCAGCCUUGGCAUAAGCUGUUCCAUUAGACUGAAGUACUCUUUAUUCAUCCUUUGGAGCUCAGUUCAGCUGCCACUUCCUCAGAUAAACCUCUGACCCAUCUUUCUCCAGGGUAGGUUUCCUGCCGCCCUACUGCUAUGAAGGCGAACCCUCAUAGAUAGCAUUUAUCACAAUUGUAUGUUCCAUGAGAGCAGGGGCCAUGUGGUCCUUUUUCAGGGCUCUAAGCCAAGCACCAGGAACAGACCACAUAAUAGGUACUCAAUAAAUAUUUUUUCAAUGAAGUGAACAUUUAUUAAGUGCCAAGUGCAUCAUUUCAUUUACUCCUCACAACAAUACUCUAGGUAGAUAUUAUCUUCAUUUUAAGAUAAAGUCUCUGAGACUAGAGAAGUAAUUAAUUACCCAAAGUCAUAUAUGGUCACCAGGCAGAACCUGACCUAGGUCACUUGGAUAAGCCAGUGUUUCAUUUUGUCUUAUAUUUUCCUUGUUGCGUGCAGUUAUCCCACUGAAAAGCCAGCGUUCCAGGAACUGUCCCAUGUGAUCUCCUAUAGGAAAGCAGACAGAGGAUCUUUUAAUGGGCCUUUGUUGUGUGCCUUCCCAGCAUCCAUCCCCUUUUCUCCCCGUCACUGCCUCCGUUUUUAUCUGGAGGAUAUACAACUCUCCUCGCCUAAGUCCACGGGGUCUGAGUGGGCUCAGCCUUGGGAUGAAGCCCUAUGACCUACACUGGAGCUAAUUAGCAUAAUCAAUCCCCUCUUGCCAUAGUGGUUGGUUCAGGGAUGGGCUCGAGAUAUAGGAUGGUCAAUCAGAGCCAACGAGACUCCACCCAGGACUUUGGUUGGAGUUUUUGCAAAAGUGGACUUGCUCUUUCCACUGGCCUUGGACGCGUAGAGAUUGGAGUUACUGUCACCAACUCUCCCCACCCCCACCUGACAGGACAGAGAGGAAGGCAGACCUGACCCGAGAGACUUUUUGGCUCCUGAUGACAUUACCUGAGCCCUGCUCAAGCUGUGCUUGCUGCUUUCUGCCCCUACGCUUUUCACUAAUUUAAGCCAAUAAAUCACUUUUUCUGCGUAAGCCAGUUUGGGUUGGGAGCUUUGUCACUUGCAAACAAAGGAAUCCUAAAAAAAAACGGACAUUUUUGCUUUUUUUUUUUUUUUCUGUUUCCAUUUUUCACAGGCUUAAGUCACCUCCUCAGGUUCUUUGAAUCAGAAUUGACUCGACGGCACUGGGUUUGGUUUUUUGGUUUUAGGCUGACUUAGGAGUCAGCAUUGACUUGCUGGCAAUGGGUUUGGUUUUUUUUUUAGGCUGACCUAACCAAUAAUGAGGUGGGUAGAUUAAGGAAGUUCCUACUUUUGGGAGACUGCAGAGGGAGAUUUAUGUUGCAGAGCUCAGGAGGCCUCAGAUAACAUCCCAACCCCUUCAACAACAGCUGUUUUGGCAGGGAUUCAUGGUCAAGAAGUCAUUCAGAGAGUAGUAAGCUUCCUUUCUGCCUGUGGAUUUUACAAAUAGGGUCUUGGGACUUGAACUUUUCAAAACCCAUUCUGAUUCUCCCAAGAUUGCUUAUUCUAAAAUCUACUAGCUAUGUUUAUAGUUACCUAGUUGUAGAAAGAAAAAUCUGUAGCUUAAUUUUCCACAAUGAAGACCUCCUAGAGAAAUUGAGAAAAAUGAAGCCAAACUAGCAAAGCUGUAAAUCAUUUACUUCCAUUCUGAUUUAGUAGAUGAUAUUGGAGCCAUUACUCCUUGUCCUAGAAUGUGACCCAGCUGGAGCUGGACUCACAAGGACACAUCAACUGGGCCCUGAAGUAUUAAGACAAUAGCUAAGAUAAUCUUGGAAAAUAUCUUUUAGGGAAACUUUCACAUAAAGCCAAUCAAACAGAACACAAAAUACUUUCCACUCUGAUCUUUGUCUAUUAGCAUUUAGUGAAUAGAAAAUUUGCUGGACCAGUGAAAACCCUCCUGUGUUCUGAAACCUGUACUAGUGAUUGUUAAGAGGGAUGAUUCAAAACGUAGAAUCACAGUUUCUAGCCAAUCUGAAAAGGUGAAGCUUUCAAUGGUUUUGCCCAUUGUGUAGUGUUAACAUAUUCUGAUGACACUGUAAUGUUUCUUGGACUUGGACAGACAUGGCUAUGGCAGCAAGCUUGUCCAUUUUCCCAUUCUUGCUUAUUCUAUAGUUUCCUUGGACUCAGGCAGACAUGGCUCUAGCAGCGUGCUUGUCCACUUCCCACUUUUGCCUUUUUGAAUAUAUGCCGAAUAAAACUUUCUUUUUGCUUUACUAAACUUUGUGAUGUUUUUUACCCUACAACAAUUCCUAAAAUGAAUGUGAACUUAUUGGUUGAUUUGAUAUUUAAAAUAAUCCCUUUGCAAAUUCACCUCAGAAAAAAAUACUAAAUUUAUUAAAAUACAUACAAUUAUUGAAAAUCCUAUUUUUACAUCCCUGACUGACCAAUCUAACACUUGUUUUCGAAGCACUUAUGAUUUUCACAAGUUAUCGUAGUUACAAAAGACAAAGAAAUCAUCUUGGGACAGAAGUGGAAUUUGAUCAGAAUAAUCCGAAACAUACUUGUUUACUUCCUCUUUACAGACUCUCAGAUUGCCUGGUUUUUAGUGGCUCUUACAUUGUGUAUUACACAAGGUUUUCCUAAUUACAGUGGACCUUAUCCUAACCUUGCCUGCAAUCCACUACGUUCAGCAAAGAUUAUCCUAGAUAAUAAAGAAAGUGAACUCUAAACCUUAUUCACCUCAAAUAGUACUAUGGAUAGACUAAACUGUCAAGUAAUGAGCCCUGGUGGAAUAGUGGUUAAGUGUUCAGCUGCUAACCGAAAGGUUGGAGGUUCAAACCCACCAGCCACUCCUUAGGAGAAAGAUGUGGCAGUCUACUUCCCUAAAGAUUACAGCCUUGGACACCCUAUGGGGCAGUUCUACUCAGUCCUAUUCACCAGAUGACCUUUUUUUUUUUUUUUGUAAAGCGUUCAAUCUUUAAGUAUUGAGAGCUGGAAUGCAGAAAAACAAACUUUGGUGGAGUACUUGAACAAAAGACUUUACAAAGCUGGGCAGAACUGGGUGCUGCAUCCUCUUAACAUUAAUUCUGAAAGCCAGCCCAGUGACAGGAAGAAUGACAGAUUUGGAUUUCUUUUUCAGAAACUUUGUGCUAUUAGGCAUGGAUUUUCAAUUUUUUAGUGUGUUUAUUCAGUUGGUAAAUGAUUAAGGUCUUUUCACUUCUCCCUUUUAAAAAUCUUCUUUUGAGUAAUUUAACUGCUUAUUAGGACUAAGUUCACAAAGAGGAGAUAGAAUUAAAAUCUGUUGGUCAACAAUUUAAAUGAUACAACUGGAAAAAAUUUGACACUACUGAAUAAAAGGAAGGUUCAGGGAUAAUGGUGGACUUAAAUUUUAAAAGCACAUUGUUUUCUUUUAGAGGAGACCUCAAAGCUGUUUUUGUUUUUUAGUUCUUUGGGAAACAAUAGAAAAUAGAAUUGUCAAAGUGUAAUGACACAGAAUCUGCUUAAAAUCAAAACAAGAGAUUUAUUGAAAGUAAAAAGACAGCUCCAGCCAGGGACGUGCCAGAUCUCAUGAAAAUGAAAUCAAACCUUUUGGCUAACAGCAGUUACAAACAUGUAAUUAUAGGGUUAGAUGAAGAACUCCGGCUAUAAUAUCCUGAUGGGUGGGUGAGUAAUUAGCGAAGUAGGCGGCAGGACAUCUCCAAGUGGUGGCUUUAAGAUGAUUGGAUUAAAGGGUAUAUGUGUGCCCUUUAGACUGGUUAUAUGUUAACUAGUUAUGGGAAAAACCACAAAGAUCUUAAAAACAAUUUGCUCUUUUACAUUUGAAUGGUUACCUUCUCAGGAAGGCACAAGCAGGAGCCUUUAAACAAAAUGGGGUCUGGCCUACUCCUAGGCCAGCCACCUUGGAUAUGCCAGACACCACUGUUAUGAAGCUCUUAUUCAAAAUAUAACAGAAAACUUUUAAGGCUGUAAUUAAACUUGAACUAAAAACGCGUUUCCCUUCUCCCAAUUAGUAUUUUAAAUGUAAAACUGAAGCCUUAGAGUAUUUGAGCCACAGUGCUCUCUACUGCCGGCCCACACUAUUUCACAGCAUAUCCGAAGAUGUGGGGGCGCACCAGAUCCCAGGCCAGCGGGGCCUGCAAAUGUUGCAGCUUCAGCUUAGAAAAGCCGGCCCUCUCCAGGGUCUUCCAGCUCUCUCUGGUCAGGUUGCACCCAUCAAACAGAAGGAGCCAGAAGGGUUCCAGGACCUGUUGCCAGAAGUAGGUCCAGGUCGAAGGCUUAGCUGCCACAUGCUCCAUGAAAUAAAAAGCUCCUCCCUGAGAAAGAAAGCCAAUACAAGAAUUUUUAGUUUUGGGAAAACAGGUUUAUAAAAUGAUUCAAGUGUCAGUUUUCAGUGGCCCCAGAGGCCAGCUUCAUGAGAAGACAAUGAAAUGGAUAAAUUAAGACUUACUAAGAGAUCAUGUUGGUCAGUAUUUUCAUUCUUUAUCAAAUUUUAUAGAUGGAGCUGUAACCUAGUCAAAUUUUAUAGAUAAAUCUAUGAUUAAUUUAAAGCAAUUAAAAUAUUUUUUUGAUCAUAAAAACAAUGCAUAAUAAUAGCUAAAAUUUAAGCACUUACUGCAUGCCCGGUACUGUCCUUAAUGGCUAUCAUGAAUUAACUCAUUUAAUCCUCACGACAAACUUAACAGGUUAAGUAUUAUUAUCACCCUGUUUUUACAGACGAGUCACACAGAGAAUAAGUAACUUGCCCAAGGUCACACAGCUUUUAAAUGUCAGAACCAGGCUUUGAACCUAGGCGGUCUGGCUCCAGAGGCUGGCAGUGCUCCUUACCAAUGUGUUUAUUUUAGAAACUUUGGAAACUACAGAAAAGCUUUAACAACAAAAACAACCAACCACCAUCCCAUCACCUAGGAAUAACUCCUGUUAACGUUUCGUUGUGUAUGCUUUUAUAUAAAUAUGCAUGUUUUUCCUAAAACUUGUAAUAAUGCAUUGUUUUGUAACCUGCUUUAUUUUACUUAAAAAAACCCAGUGCCAUCGAGUCGAUUCCGACUCAUAGCGACCCUAUAGGACAGAGUAGAACUGCCCCAUAGAGUUUCCAAGGAGCUUCUGGCGGAUUCAAACUGCACACCCUUUGGUUAGCAGCCAUAGCACUUAACCACUAUGCCACCGGGGUUUCCAACUUACGUACAUAUUUUACUUACGUACUAAAUUUUACUAUUAUUCUGAAACAUUAUUUUUUAAAUCUUUACACAUUUCAGACUGCUGACGGCACCAUCUCUUAUUUAACCACUCUCAUUUAGGUUAUUUAUAAUUGUUCACUAUUAUAAAUACUGUUAAAUGAACAUCCUUAUCCACAAAUCUUUGUUAUCAGCUCUAAUUAUUUCCAAAUAAAUAACUUGCUAAAAAGUGCAAUUGCUGAACUGAAGGUCUGUGCCUUUUUAAAGCUUUUGGUGCAAGUUGUCAAACUGCCCUUUGGAAAAGUUUUACCAAAUUUACACUCAUACCAGCAAUGCAUAGAAGUACCCAUCCCCAUAUGCCCUAUCAACACUGUUUUUUUGUUUUUGUUUUUUUCCAUUUUUGUCAAUUUGUCUAUCUUUGUAAAAAAAUGGUAUUUCAUUUUAAUAAAUGUGCAUAUCUGUAAUAGUCUUAAUAAAUAUCAAGUGUUUUACAAAAGCUACUGGUUAUUUGGAUUUCUUCUUUUCUGAUGUGUCUGUUCAUAUACUUCGUCGGUUUUCUCGUACGGUUUGUUGGUUUUUUCCUUAUGGAUUAGUAAGGCUUUUAGUAUAUAAUAAAACUAUGUAGGAUCUCUAUGGGUCAGAAUUGACUCAAUGGCAAUGGGUUUGGUUUUUGGUUUAUACUACAAAUAUUUUUCCCUGUUUCCGGUUUGCCUUUUAAUUUGAAUUAAAAAAUGUGUUUACUUCUACUUCUUUUAUUUAUUUAUUUUUUUUUAAUAACUUUUAUUAAGCUUCAAGUGAACGUUUACAAAUCCAAUCAGUCUGUCACAUAUAAGUUUACAUACAUCUCACUCCCUACUCCCACUUACUCUCCCCGUCUUGAGUCAGCCCUUUCAGUCUCUCCUUUCUUGACAAUUUUGCCUGCUUCCCUCUCUCUCUAUCCUCCCAUUCCCCCUCCAGACAAGAGUUGCCAACACAAUCUCAAGUGUCCACCUGAUAUAAUUAGCUCACUCUUCAUCAGCAUCUCUCUCCCACCCGCUGACCAGUCCCUUUCAUUUCUGAUGAGUUGUCUUCGGGGAUGGUUCCUGUCCUGUGUCAACAGAAGGUCUGGGGAGCAUGGCCGCCGGGAUUCCUCCAGUCUCAAUCAGACCAUUAAGUUUGGUCUUCUUAUGAGAAUUUGGGGUCUGCAUCCCACUGAUCUCCUGCUCCCUCAGGGGUCCUCUGCUGAGCUCCCUGUCCGGGCAGUCAUCGAUUGUGGCCGGGCACCAACUAGUUCUUCUGGUCUCAGGAUGAUGUAGGUCUCUGGUUCAUGUGGCCCUUUCUGUCUCUUGGGCUCUUAGUUGUCAUAUGGGCUUGGUGUUCUUCAUUUUCCUUUGCUCCAGGUGGGUUGAGACCAAUUGCUGCAUCUUAGAUGGCUGCUUGUUAGCAUUUAAGACCCCAGACGCCACAUUUCAAAGUGGGAUGCAGAAUGAUUUCAUAAUAGAAUUAUUUUGCCAAUUGACUUAGAAGUCCCCGCAAACCAUGUUCCCCAGACCCCCGCCCUUGCUCCGCUGACCUUUGAAGCAUUCAUUUUAUCCCGGAAACUUCUUUGCUUUUGGUCCAGUCCAAUUGAGCUGACCUUCCAUGUAUUGAGUGUUGUCUUUCCCUUCACACAAUUCACCUGAAGUUGUUCUCAGGCUUUGCCUUGGAAACUUGUUGGCGAACCAUAGAGUCCUCCCUCAGGCGAGUCUGAACCCACACCAAGCACUGCCUCGGGAUUGAAUAACCAGGCCUCAUGCUUUUGGACCAUUUUCAAAGUGUGUAAAUGAUACAACUAAUGAAAACAGAUUCAUCUAAAAGCAUUACUGAAUUCAUGGUAGCAUUUUGUCAUCAGAUAUUUUAUUCCAUCAGUGGAUGCUAAGUAUAAAUUACUGCUAUGUAAGAAUUAGUAACUGUUGCUUCAACCUUGCGCAGUCCUAUGCAGAGAGUCCCGACUUCUGACGUAUUUGAGUUAUGAUGAACCACACUUAUGAUCUCCUUCUUUUUGUAUACCGUAUUGUUAGUACCUCAUACAGUCCUGCACCACAUAAUUUGCUGAUGCUAUCAUUCUCAGAUGUUCAGUUUUAUGAUUUACUGUUCAAAACACUGCUGUAUAGCAAGCUGGAACAUUGCAUCUUCCUGGGAGGCAGUUAACGGGAAAAUGCAUGAAGGGGGUUUGGAAAAAAUUGCUGAAUCAUAUGACCAUGGUUCAAGCAUUUGAUCAGGAUAAUAUGAUGGAGGAUAUCGGUGGAAGAAUAAUCCAUAUAACAAGAACACCUAAGACAGGGAGCAAAGGCCCUGAGAUCAGAGAGUGCCUGUUUGAAAAAUAGUGAAGAGACUGGUGUGGUUAGAGGAGAAACAAGUAAAAGAGAAAUAGACUAUAAGAGAGGUAACAGGGGGUUGAGUGUGAAGCCUAGAAAUAGGCCAGGGCACAGAAACAAAGCCAUUCCCCAGAACAAUGGGGCAGGGUAUCUAAAAAUAGCCCGCAAACUUCUUUAACAGUUGCCUUUCAGGAGCAGCUAGAGAAAACCAGGCCCAGGGACAGGGGCAGUACAUGCACCUGUGACCACAGUGUGACCCACAGUGUGACCUUCCACCAGAGGCAGUUAGGGGCUACAGCCCCAGCCAGGGAAUCGAACCCAGAGAGCGGGAGACUGCACAGGUGUGACACCCCAUAAUAAGUCCUGCUACAAAUCCCAGAGGUCUCCAAGACAGAAGCCAUCUUGGAAAGGUGCUGCACAUGCACCUUAGUUAACAUAUCCCCGCCUGUGUCUACGAAUAAACAUGAAUCUUUUCCCGCCCAAGAACUUCUAAAAACUUGGCCCGUCUUUUGUUCUGUGAGAUGGGGGCAAGUGUUGCUCUAGGCCGUCCUUGUCUCCGCUUGCAAGACUCUUCACUAAAGCUUUGCUCUGUGGAAAACUGUGUGCCUUACCUGCUCAUUCUUGACCAGUGAGAGGCAAGAGACCCUUUGGGUCCCGUUGUCAGACCCAAGGCAGUGUGGAGAGGAGAAUUGCCUGACCCCAGCGGACAAACGAAGCAGCUGCCGAAACUGAUUUCUUCUCACAUUUCUCCGCCAGGGAAGGACUUCUCUCUCCCCCUUACUCCUCGUGGCCCGACCUUCCUUUCAUUUUCCUCCUGAGCAAACUUUCUGUUUUUCCUUGGAAAUGCAAAGUGCAAUGACGAGGACUCAACAGAAAUCAAACUGGUGGAUGAGUCGCUCGCCUGGGUAAGGUCACCCAGGAGUCCCCCACGGAUGUGUGUCUCAUACCGUGGGGGCCGGAGGCACUAGUGAAGGGCGAAGCAUCCCCAGAGUGAUGGGUCUGAACUGAUCCUAGGGACCAAGGGACACAUUCCAUGGAGAGUCCCCAGAGUGAUGGGCUUUUCAAACCCUAGGGACCAAAGGACGCCUUCUUUCUGACCCCAGGGAGUAGGAAAUUUCUGACUUGCUGGUAGUGCACCCUUGGCAGGAACUGCAGCUGCCCCUUUUCCUCUCCUCUCCUCUCAAGCUGGCCUUUUGCCCAGCCCCUUGUUUCAGCUGUCGUUUUUGUGCGUCUAGAUAUUGUCUGUCUCCAGAUGGUACACCCUGUUUCUGGGGAAAUGCAUGUAGAGGUCUGUGGAUUGAGAGAGUGAAGUCCUUCUGCUCAGUAUUGGAGAUAAGUGGUAUCUAGAUCAAAGUAGAGAUUCAGAUAUUCCUGACUUGUCUGGUCUGAGCGCUCUCUGUCUUAUGUGUGACUGGGGCUGUCUGGGCAGUUGAGACUGCGAGGUUGUCUUAGUAGCCUCUGUCUGUGUCUUGUUUGUUGAGUUGAUACUUGUUGUCUGUGUGCGCCCCAGAGUAUUCGGCCUUAGGUCUUACUGAGUAGACCCUUACUGACUCCUUCCCAGAUCUCUUUCUUCCUUUUUGUUGUCCUAUCAAAGGGAGAAAGCCACCAGUCAUACUUGGACCUGGUGCAAACGUGAUUCUCUGGAAAAGAUAACCCAUUCACAGAGCAAAACCCAUCCUCAGGGACUUCGAAGCUCUCGGCAGCUUUGUGAAAUUGCUUGAACUGCUUAAAAAUCUUGAUCCAGCAGGGUAGAGUCCAGAUCUUAUAAUCACCAGGACGUCUGUUCUAGGGACCUCCAUCCAGCCCCAGGGUCUUUAGUAACAGGACAUUAAGAAAUACAGGAUAGGUACCGGUUCUAGUAUCCCCAAGGACCCUCCCCUGGGCUGCUUAUUGAGCAAUUGGUUAUCUUUUGCUUUCGACGGAUUAAUGAAAGAGCAGUUGAUUUUGGCCACAAUAUUCUCUAGGAGAUCCGGAGACUUGGCCUAGGGAUGGGAGUCUUUCCUAUAAUACCAUCCAUCAGCUGGAUCUAUUUUGUAAGAAGGAAAAUGGGAAGAGAUCCCUUAUGUACAAGCCUUCAUGGCCCUUUAUCAAGACCCAAAUCUUAGAGCCAAACGUAAAUUUAAAAGAGAAGGAGAGGAAUCCGUUAAACUCUUCUUACUAAAGUCAGAAGAGGGAAGAUUUACCUUUGGACCCCCCUUCCCAAGCCCCAGUUAAACCUACUGCACCUCCAAAUGUGGAAGAGGAGGUAUGCACUGUGAGUGCCUCCUCUGAUUCCCUUGGGACUGUAAACUCAGAGUCUCCGCUAUAUAUCCCUUCGACUGGUAUUCAGUUAAUUUAAAGACUCCACACCCAGGGACUGAUGAAAAUGCUCCUUUGUCUACGUGUGCUCCACAGUCCCCUUCACUGGCCCCAGUUCCAACAGAACCUAACCCUUUAAUUUACCAACCUUCUCCUAUGGGAUUGAGGUUGGGAAAUAAGUUGUACCCACCUUUGCCUCCUACACAAGGCCCCGGGAUGUAUCCCUUAAGACAGGUAACCUGCUGAUGGGAAUAGAAGAAUCACACGGAUACAUGUCCCCUUCUCAGUGUCUGACCUUAGCUUACGUAAAGAAAAACUGGGGAAUGUCUCUGAAGAUCCUGAAAAAUUUAGAGACGAAUUCAUGAAACUUAGUCUGAACUUUAGUCUAACUUGAGGAGAUGUUAUGGUUAUUCUUACUCAUUGCUGUUCCUCUCAUGAAAAGGCCAGAAUUCUGACAAAGGCCAGAGAGUGUGCUGAUGGUGUCCAUUGACCCCAUCUGACUCAUGAAAUUUUUAAACCAGGAGGGGAAGCAGUUCCCAAGAUAGAUGCAGGGUGGGAUUAUAAUACAGAUGUGGGAUCAGAAAAAGCCAAACAUCUAGUUACUUGUGUAUUAGAGGGAAUUCAAAAGUGCAUCACUAAGCCUGUUAACUAUGACAAAGUCAGAGAAGUCACUCAGGAUUAGAAGAGAAUCCAGCUGUAUUCUUCACCAGGCUUACUGAAUCUUUUAGGAAAUACACCGAUGUUGACCCUGAAAGUAGGGAAGGGAGAGCCUUAACAGCCAUGCAUUUUAUCUCCCAGUCUGCAACGGACAUAAGACCAGAAAACUACACAAAUUGGAAGCUGGCCCCCAGACCUCACUCUCCCAACUGGUGGAGGAGGCUUUUAAGGCGUUCAAUAAUAGAGACGUGGCUGCCAAGGAGAAAGCGAAGGAGGUAUCUGAAAAAAAAACUGAAGAGAAAAGCCUGUUUGUUGGCAAUUGCUCUCCAAGGCCACCCACCCCAACCGCAGAGGACCCUGAAAGCCUGGAUUUGGGCCAGCGCGGCGGCCAGUGAGUAUAUUCCCUGACCAGUGUGGGUAUUGUCAAAAGCAAGCCCACUGGAAGGUAGAGUGCCCUGAGCGCCCUAAAGCAGGACGCCCAGUUGAUCCCCCUCGAAGGUCUGGACCGACAACCCCCAUUCAGAGAAUGACGACAGAAGACGGUCUUGAAGAGGCCGAACACUGACGGGGUCCUGGAGCUCGCCUAGCUCCCAACUGUACCAUCAAUAUCUCCAUGGGAGAGCCCAGGGUUACAUUCGACGUGGAAGGCGACUGAGAGGUUGACGUAACUGAGGCCAUGAGAAACAUGUGCCCCUUGUCUGCGUUUGGAAACUAUUCCUAUUUUCCUGCUGGAGUUUCACACGCAUAGCGCAUGUACACCCCAGCUCGGAGGGCCAAAGACUUUUAAACAGGAAACAGAAUCUGUGGAUGGAGCCUGAUUAAACGCCGAUCUCCAAGGCCCCUUUAACACAACAUGUCCCCUUCCUUCCUCCUAGCCUCCCCAAUUCCCGCAACCCACGUCCCUAGUUCCUGAAAAACAAAGGUCAUGCCUGCCUGGUGACUCACAGUUCACAAGUAUUCGCCCUUGGCUUUCUGGGCAGAGGGUCUCAGAUGUUCAUAACUGAACAGCAAGGUUAUUCUUAAAUUACUGUUUUGGCCAGCCCACGUUUUAAAGGACAGGUCUCAGUCUUCAAACUGUACCCAACUACCAUGCAACCAGCUAACUUAGAUAAAAGCAGUUUGCAGAAUAUUCACAUUUGAGAAGCUAAAGUAUUCAAAAAAUAGUUUUAAACAUUCAUCUGUUUCUAACAAGUAAAGCCUGGGCUUCAGGGUGACCCGGGAAAGAGAAAUUUUUAAAAAUACUGAUAACUACUUUUUAAAAUUGGGGUGAUGGAUACAGGGAGUGUACUGUUGUUUCAUUAUCUGUUAUAUCUUGUACAUUUUUUAUGAAUAUCUUUAUCUACUCCAUUUCUAAACAACUUAUUUGAGGCAGAAUUAACAUGAUAAACUGUACACAUUUAAAGUGUACAGUUUGAUAAAUUUUGACAUAUGCAUACAUCCAUGAAACUCAGCACCUCAAUCAAGAUAAUGACAUCUCCAUCACCCUCAAAAGUUUCUUUUGCCCCUUCAUAAUUCCUUCAACUGCCCCCUCCCAUCCCAAAGCAACAAUCUGUUUUCUGUCAUUAGAGAUUAGUUUGCAUUUUCUAGAAUUUUAUAUAAGUGGAAACAUACAGUAUGUACUUUUUUUUUUUGGUCUGGCUUCUUUCUUUCAGUGUAUUUUGAGAGACAUCCUCAUUUGUUGAAUGUAUCAAUAGUUCAAUCAAUUUUACUGCUGAAUUUACACGUGUCUGUCAGUUUGUCGUACUGUGGGGGCUUGUGUGUUGCUGUGAUGCUGGAAGCUAUGCCACCGGUAUUCAGAUACCAGCAGGGUCACCCAUGGAGGACAGGUUUCAGCUGAGCUUCCAGACUAAAACAGACUAGGAAGAAGGACCCAGCAGACUACUUCUGAAAAGCAUUAGCCAGUGAAAACCUUAUAUAUAGCAGCAGAGCAUUGUCUGAUAUAGUGCUGGAAGAUGAGCCCCCCAGGUUGGAAGGCACUCAAAAGAUGACUGGGGAAGAGCUGCCUCCUCAAAGUAGAGUCGACCUUAAUGACGUAGAUGGAGUAAAGCUUCCGGGACCACCAUUUGCUGAUGUGGCAUGACUCAAAAUGAGAAGAAAGAGCUGAAAACAUCCAUUAAUAAUCGGAACCUGGAAUGUACCAUGUAUGAAUCUAGGAAAAUUGGAAAUCAUCAAAAAUGAAAUGGAACACAUAAACAUCGAUAUCCUAGGCAUUAGUGAGCUGAAAUGGACUGGUAUUGGCCAUUUUGAAUCAGACAAUCAUAUAGUCUACUAUGCUGGGAAUGACAACUUGAAGAGGAAUAGCGUUGCAUUCAUCGUCAAAAAGAACGUUUCAAGAUCUAUCCUAAAGUACAACGCUGUCAGUGAUAGGAUAAUAUCCAUACACCUACAAGGAAGACCAGUUAAUACAACUAUUAUUCAAAUUUACGCACCAACCACUAGGGCCAAAGAUGAAGAAAUAGAAGACUUUUAUCAGCUGCUACAGUCCGAAAUUGAUCAAACAUGCAAUCAAGAUGCAUUGAUAAUUACUGGUGAUUGGAAUGCGAAAGUUGGAAACGAAGAAGGAUCAGCAGUUGGAAAAUAUGGCCUUGGGAAUAGAAACAAUGCCGGAGAUCAAAUGAUAGAAUUUUGCAAGACCAACAACUUCUUCAUUGCAAAUACUUUCUUUCACCAACAUAAAACGGCAACUAUACACAUGGACCUCACCAGAUGGAACACACAGAAAACAAAUUGACUACAUCUGUGGAAAGAGAUGAUGGAAAAGCUCAAUGUCAUCAGUCAGAACAAGGCCAGGGGCUGACUAUGGAACAGACCAUCAAUUGCUCAUACGCAAGUUCAAGCUGAAACUGAAGAAAAUCAGAGCAAGUCCACGAGAGCCAAAAUAUGACCUUGAGUAUAUCCCACCUGAAUUUAGAGACUGUCUCAAGAAUAGAUUUGACGCAUUGAACACUAGUGACUGAAGACCAGAUGAGUUGUGGAAUGACAUCAAGGAUAUCAUCCAUGAAGAAAGCAAGAGGUCACUGAAAAGACAGGAAAGAAAGAAAAGACCAAGUUGGAUGUCAGAGGAGACUCUGAAACUUGCUCUUGAGCAUCAAGCAGCUAAAGCAAAAGGAAGAAUUGAUGAAGUAAAAGAACUGAACAGAAGAUUUUAAAGGGCCUCUCGAGAAGACAAAAUAAAGUAUUAUAAUGACAUGUGCAAAGACCUGGAGACAGAAAACCAAAAGAGAGGAACACUCUUGGUGUUUCUCAAGCUGAAAGAACUGAAGAAAAAAUUCAAGCCUCAAGUUGCAAUAGUGAAGGAUUUCAUGGGUAAAAUAUUAAAUGAUGCAGGAAGUAUCAAAAGAAGAUGGAAGGAAUACACAGAGUCAUUAUACCGAAAAGAAUUAGUUGAUAUUCAACCAUUUCAAGAGGUGGCAUAUGAUCAGGAACCGAUGGUACUGAAGGAAGAAGUCCAAGCUGCUCUGAAGGCAUUGGUGAAAAACAAGGCUCCAGGAAUUGAUGGAAUAUCAAUUGAGAUGUUUCAACAAACAGAUGCAGCGCUGGAGGUGCUCACUUGUCUACACCAAGAAAUAUGGAAGACAGCUUUCUGGCCAACCGAGUGGAAGAGAUUCAUAUUUAUGCUUAUUUCCAAGAAAGGUGAUCCAACCGAAUGUGGAAAUUAUAGAACAAUAUCGUUAACAUCACACGCAAGCAAAAUUUUGCUGAAGAUCAUUCAAAAACGGCUGCAGCAGUAUAUCGACAGGCGACUGCCAGAAAUUUAGGCCGGUUUCAGAAGAGGACAUGGAACCAGGGAUAUCAUUGCCGAUGUCAGAUGGAUCCUGGCUGAAAGCAGAGAAUACCAGAAGGAUGUUUACCUGUGUUUUAUUGACUAUGCAAGGGCAUUUGACUGUGUGGAUCAUAACAAACCAUGGAUAACACUGCGAAAAAUGGGAAUUCCAGAACACUUAAUUGUGCUCAUGAAGAACCUUUACAUGGAUCAAGAGGCAGUUGUUUGGACAGAACAAGGGGAUACGGAUUGGUUUAAAGUCAGGAAAGGUGUGCGUCAGGGUUGUAUUCUUUCACCAUACCUAUAUAAUCUGUAUGCUGAACAAAGAAUACGAGAAGCUGGACUAUAUGAAGAAGAAUGGGGCAUCAGGAUUGGAGGAAGACUCAUUAACAACCUGCAUUAUGCAGAUGACACAACCUUGCUUGCUGAAAGUGAAGAGGACUUGAAGCACUUACUAAUGAAGAUCAAAGACCACAGCCUUCAGUAUGGAUUACACCUCAACAUAAAGAAAACAAAAAUCCUCACAACUGGACCAAUGAGCAACGUCACGAUAAAUGGAGAAAAGAUUGAAGUUGUCAAGGAUUUCAUUUUACUUGGAUCCACAAUCAAGAGCCAUGGAAGCAGCAGUCAAGAAAUCAAAAGAUGCAUUGCAUUGGGCAAAUCUGCUGCAAAGGACCUUUUCGAAGUGUUGAAGAGCAGAGAUGUCACCCUGAAGACUAAAGUGCUCCUGACCCAAGCCAUGGUAUUUUCUUUUUUUUAUUAUUUAUUUUUAUUUUAUUUUUUAUUAACUUUUAUUGAGCUUCAAGUGAACGUUUACAAAUCAAGUCAGACUGUCACAUACAAGUUUAUAUACACCUUACUCCAUACUCCCACUUGCUCUCCCCCUAAUGAGUCAGCCCUUCCAGUCUCUCCUUUGGUGACAAUUUUGCCAGCUUCCAACUCUCUCUAUCCUCCCAUCCCCCCUCCAGACAGGAGAUGCCAACACAGUCCCAAGUGUCCACCUGAUAUAAAUAGCUCACUCUUCAUCAGCAUCUCUCUCCUACCCACUGUCCAGUCCCUUUCAUGUCUGAUGAGUUGUCUUCGGGAAUGGUUCCUGUCCUGGGCCAACAGAAGGUUUGGGGACCGUGACCGCCGGGAUUCCUCUAGUCUCAGUCAGACCAUUAAGUAUGGUCUUUUUGUGAGAAUUCGGGGUCUGCAUCCCACUGAUCUCCUGCUCCCUCAGGGGUUCUCUGUUGUGCUCCCUGUCAGGGCAGUCAUCGAUUGUGGCCAGGCACCAACUAGUUCUUCUGGUCUCAGGAUGAUGUAGGUCUCUGGUUCAUGUGGCCCUUUCUGUCUCUUGGACUGUUAGUUAUCGUGUGACCUUGGUGUUCUUCAUUCUCCUUUGCUCCAGGUGGGUUGAGACCAAUUGAUGCAUCUUAGAUGGCCACUUGUUAGCAUUUAAGAUCCCAGAUGCCACAUUUCAAAGUGGGAUGCAGAAUGUUUUCAUAAUAGAAUUAUUUUGCCAAUUGACUUAGAGGUCCCCUUAAACCAUGGUCCCCAAACCCCCGCCCUUGCUCCGCUGACCUUUGAAGCAUUCAGUUUAUCCCGGAAACUUCUUUGCUUUUGGUCCAGUCCAGUUGAACUGACCUUCCGUGUAUUGAGUAUUGUCCUUCCCUUCAACUAAAGCAGUUCUUAUCUACUAAUUAAUCAGUAAAAAACCCUCUCCCACGCUCGUAACCACAAAAGUAUGUGUUCUCAGUUUAUACUGUUUCUCAAGAUUUUAUAAUAGUGGUCUUAUACAAUAUUUGUCCUUUUGCCUCUGACUAAUUUCACUCAGCAUAAUGCCUUCCAGGUUUCUCCAUGUUAUGAAAUGUUCUACAGAUUCGUCACUGUUCUUUAUCGAUGCGUAGUAUUCCAUCGUGUGAAUGUACCACAAUUUAUUUAACCAUUCAUCCAUUGAUGGACACCUUGGUUGCUUCCAGCUUUUUGCUAUUGUAAACAGAGCUGCAAUAAACAUGGGUGUGCAUAUACAAGCCACGGUAUUUUCAAUCGCAUCAUAUGCAUGUGAAAGCUGGACAAUGAAUAAGGAAGACCGAAGAAGAGUUGACGCCUUUGAAUUGUGGUGUUGGCGAAGAAUAUUGAAUAUACCAUGGACUGCCAAAAGAACGAACAAAUCUGUUUUAGAAGAAGUACAACCAGAAUGCUCCUUAGAGGCAAGGAUGGCGAGACUGCGUCUUACAUACUUCAGACAUGUUGUCAGGAGGGAUCAGUCCCUGGAGAAGGACAUCAUGCUUGGCAGAGUACAGGGUCAGGGGAAAAUAGGAAGACCCUCAACAAGGUGGAUUGACACAGUGGCUGCAACAAUGAGCUGAAGCAUAACAACGAUUGUAGGGAUGGCACACGACUGGGCAGUGUUUCGUUUUGUUGUGCAUAGGGUUGCUAUGAGUCGGAACUGCCUCGAUGGCACCUAACAACAACAACAACAAUCAUUAUAUAGUGUCCUUCUUUAUCCUUUGUGGUGGAUUUAACUUUAAAGUCUCUUUUGUCAGCAAUUAAUAUUGCCACUCCUGCUCUUUUUUGAUUGUUGUUUGCUUGAUAUAUUUUUUUCCAUCCUUUGAGUUUUAGUUUGUUUGUGUCUCUAAGCCUAAGGUGUGUCUCUUGUAGGCAGCAUAUAGACGGAUCUUGUUUCUUUAUGCAGUCUGAGACUCUCUGUCUCUUUAUUGGUGUAUUUAGUCCAUUUAUAUUCAGCAUAAUUAUAGAUAAGUAUGAGUUUAGUGGUGUCAUUUUCAUGCUUUUUUGUGUUGUUGACAAUUUCAUUUUUCCACUUACUUUUUUGUGCUGAGAAGUUUUUCUUUGUAAAUUGUGUGUUCCUCAUUUUCAUAGUAGUUGAAUUUAUGUUUGCUGAGUCGUUAUGUUUUUCUUGGUUUUUAUUUUCAAUUGUGGAAUUGUUAGACCUCUUUGUGAUUACCUUAAUAUUUACCCCUAUUUUUCUAAGUAAAAACCUAACUUGUAUCAUCCUAUAUCACCUUGUUUUCCUCUCCAUGUGGAAGAUCUAUGCCUCCUGUAUUUAGUCCCUCUUUUUGAUUAUCGUAAUCUUUUACAUAAUGACUUCAAUGAUUCCCUGUUUUGAGCAUUUUCUUUUUUAAAUUAAUCUUGUUUUUUUUUGUGUGAUUUCGCUGUUUGAGUUGGUAUCAGGAUGUUCUGUUUUGUAACCUUGUGUUGUGUUGGUAUCUGAUAUUAUUGAUCUUCUGACCAAAAAAUUCCUUUAGUAAUUCUUGUAGCUUUGGUUUGGUUUUUGCAAAUUCUCUAGGCUUGUGUUUAUCUGUAAAUGUUUUAAUUUCACCUUCAUAUUUGAGAGAGAGUUUUGCUGGAUAUAUGAUUCUUCGCUGGCAGUUUUUCUCCUUCAGUGCUCUAUGUAUGUCAUCCCAUUGCCUUCUUGCCUGCAUGGUUUCUGCUGAGUAGUCUGAACUUAUUCUUAUUGAUUCUCCCUUGAAGGUGACUUUUCUUUUAUCCCUGGCUUCUUUUAAAAUUUUCUCUUUAUCUUUGGUUUUGGCAAGUUUGAUGAUAAUAUGCCUUGGUGAUUUUCUUUUUGGAUCAACCUUAUAUGGGGUUCGAUGAGCAUCUUGGGUAGAUAUCCUUUCGUUUUUCAUGGUGCCAGGGAAGUUUUCUGCCAACAGAUCUUUGACUAUUCUCUCUGUAUUUUCUGUUAUCCCUCCCUGUUUUGGAACUCCAAUUACAUGCAAGUUAUUCUUCUUGAUAGAGUCCCACAUGAUUCUUAGGUUUUCUUCAUUUUUUAAAAAUUCUUUUACCUGAUUUUUCUUCAACUAUAUUGGUGUCAAUUGCCUUAUCCUCCAUCUCCCCCACUCUGCAUUCCAGUUCCUCGAUUCUGCUCCUCUGGUUUCCUAUUGAGUUGUCUAAUUCUGUAAUUUUACUGUUAAUCUUUUGGAUUUCUGAAUGCUGUCUCUCUAUGGAUUCUUGCAGUUUACUGAUUUUUCCACUAUGUUCUUGAAUAAUCUUUUUGAGUUCUUCAACUGCUUUAUUAGUGUGUUCCUUGGCUUUUUCUGUAGAUUGCCUUAUUUCAUUUCUGAGGUCAUCCCUGUCUUGAAUCAUUCUGUAUAUUAGUUUUUUAUAUUCUGCAUCUGGCAAUUCCAGGAUUGUAUCUUCAUUUGGGAAAGAUUUUGACUCUUUAAUUUGGGGAUUUGUAGAAGUAAUCAUGGUCUGCUUCUUAAUGUAAUUUGAUAUUGACUGCUGUCUCUGAGCCAUCUAUAAGAUAUUGUAAUGAUUUAUUUUAUAUUUGCUGAGUCUUAUCUUGUUUUGUUUCAAUAUACCCAGAUGGGCUACUAGAUUGCGCUGUCUUAUCAUAUCGUUUGAAUCACUUAUGUCCUAUUACCAGCUGGUUUAGGCUGUUACCAGAUAUAUAAGCCUAAGAGUCUAUUCACUAUUCUUGAAUAGAAUCAUCUGAUGUGUUCUGAUUUUGGGUCACCAAGUGUGUGGUGUAGACUGUCACCUAUUAACUUAGAGGAGUAAUGGCGAUAGUUGUGUACACCAGAUUCUAGUAGCAGCAGGGGGUCACACUCCAAGGAGGGCAGGAUGCUGACAGCCUUCCCCCACGUGCCAGUGAGGUAUGUGUGUCUCUAUUCCUAAAGCACUUUGGUGGGUGGGCUCUGCAGCUGUACCUGAGGCAUGCAAUGCUUGUACCUCUAAAAAUUAGUAGGCAUCAGUAUCCUCAGAUCCCUUUGGCAGGUGGCUAGUUGGUUUGGGUGGAGCUUCAGCCCUCAGUUCCCUGUUUAAUGGGUAGAGAUAUCAGACCUGGAAAACUUAUCUUUCCAGUGCUCUGCUAAAACAAUUACAGUCAGAUAUCUAUCAGAAUUGCCUUUGCAUUAUAAUAGCCACCUUGUUCCAUGUGGGGAUGAAAGCCAAAGACUGUGGAUCUCAUAUGCUUGGCUGGAGCUGGUUCUGUAUUUUUAUUCCAGUUUAGGGAAGUCAGGGAAGGAUUUUGCAUCCCUCGGUUGUUAGUAGCUGCUUCUCUCAGGCCAGAAGAAUGGGUUAGGAAAAAAAAAAACCCACAGAGCACUUCACUCCCUGGCCCAGGAAAUUC